UAUGUAGGGGGCAAGCGUUGUCCGGAAUCAUUGGGCGUAAAGCGCGUGUAGGCGGCCCGAUAAGUCCGCUGUGAAAGUCCAGGGCUCAACCCUGGAAUGCCGGUGGAUACUGUCGGGCUAGAGUCCGGAAGAGGCGAGUGGAAUUCCUGGUGUAGCGGUGAAAUGCGCAGAUAUCAGGAAGAACACCUAUGGCGAAGGCAGCUCUCUGGGACGGUACUGACGCUGAGGCGCGAAAGCGUGGGGAGCAAACGGG
rnacentral:rRNA from 1 species